AAUCUUGCACAAUGGGGGCAACCCUGAUGCAGCGACGCCGCGUGAGCGAUGAAGCCCUUCGGGGCGUAAAGCUCUUUCGACCGGAACGAUAAUGACGGUACCGGGAGAAGAAGCUGCGGCUAACUACGUGCCAGCAGCCGCGGUAAUACGUAGGCACCAAGCGUUGUUCGGAGUUACUGGGCGUAAAGCGUGCGUAGGCGGUUUUCUAAGUUCGGUGUGAAAUCUCCCGGCUUAACUGGGAGGGUGCGCCGAAGACUGGGAAGCUGGAGUGUGGGAAAGGCAGGCGGAAUUCCUGGUGUAGCGGUGAAAUGCGUAGAGAUCAGGAGGAACACCGGCGGUGUAGACGGCUUGCUAAACCAAAACUGACGCUGAGGCACGAAAGCGUGGGUAGCAAACA
rnacentral:rRNA from 1 species